UACGUAGGGUGCAAGCGUUAAUCGGAAUUACUGGGCGUAAAGCGUGCGCAGGCGGUUUUGUAAGUCUGUCGUGAAAUCCCCGGGCUCAACCUGGGAAUUGCGAUGGAGACUGCAAGGCUAGAAUCUGGCAGAGGGGGGUAGAAUUCCACGUGUAGCAGUGAAAUGCGUAGAGAUGUGGAGGAACACCGAUGGCGAAGGCAGCCCCCUGGGCUGAGAUUGACGCUCAGGCACGAAAGCGUGGGGAGCAAACAGG
rnacentral:rRNA from 1 species